GGAGCCAACAAAGACAAAUUGUACUGUUGAAUAUUAACUGACUGCCGGAUCCACUACAAGCCCAGCAGCCAACUAUGACCGCAGCAAGAAUUCCGAAGGUCAAGAGCCACCUCCUUCCUUCUAUUCCUUUGAUGCAAAACAGGAUGGCUCUGGAUGGAGUACAAACUUAAACUGGAGAAGCACAUUCCAGCCUACAAAAUCUCAGGAACUUUGCAACCCAGACUACAGCUCCUGAGCAGCCUCUGCCAGUGCCUGUUGUUUGAGCAUAUGGGACAACAAGACAUCAAUACCUGCCUGCCCAUGCAGCCACAACUGCAGCCAAUGGACCCGUUGUCAUUCACAGUGACAUCGGCCACAGACAUCGAGCCUGUAUUAGCAUCAGUGUUUCGCAAAACAGACAGAGGAGAACCAUCUACAGCGGAACUGAUCACAGUGCAUUUCCUUGCUAACUACCACUUGGACCUGCUGAAGGUGUGGACAGACUGGUGAGAAAGUGUGUUAAAGCUCAUCGAAAAAGUGAAAGUGCUUGUGAAAAUUACUAAAUAUUGAGCAAGCGAAAUUUUCUGUCUAUUGCUACCCAUUAGGAUUUAUUUUGUUUAGCGGGACAGGACUUGUACAAAGUGAUAUGUGUUUUAAAAUGUAAUCCUUGUUUAGCCCAAGAAGGACAUCAUUUAUGAUGAAAAUGCAUAAUUUAUGUUAAAAGUAUAACUUGUGGAUAUUUUGUGAUACACUGUAUACAUACACUGUAUGUAAUUAUUUUUUAUGGGGAUUUUCGUAUGACCAGUUCACAUAACUAUAAAUUUAAAAAGACAUAUGUACUGUAGUUUUGAUAAGAUUUCUUAUGUAAUAUUUGUUUGAGUGUGGACUUUAAACUCAAUUUGUGAGAUCGCUUGAGGCCAUUGAAACACCCAGUUAGCUAUUUGCCAUAUCUAUUUGGUCCAUCCAAUGAGGGGGUGAUGUGACAAAGCAAGCUGGGAUAUUUUUCCUUCCCCUCCUUCCUUGCCUCCUUAAAUUCAUUUUUUCUCUUUUAACAAAUUAGCAUUAACAUAUGUGAAUUUAAUCUGCAUUUUCAUAAAAGAGAAAGGUUGACACUCAUUUUUAGUGAAUAUAACACCAGAUCUAAUUUUGUGCUUAGUUUUAUGUAUGUAAUUAAUUUUCCAAUUUAUUUGAACUAUUCAAUCAGUAAUUGUUUCAUAACUUAAAUUCUACUGUUGAAGUAUAAACAAAUAUAAAUUCUGUACUAGUUAUAAACAUUUGGAGGAACAACUAAAAGUAUUCUUAAAAUAUUUAUGUUGUGACUCGCGAUCAUUCAAAGCGCCACCGCACAAUUAUGCGCGUCUUCUACGUGCAGCGCUGUCUGCCAGCCAUGCAGUAGCUGCGCCACCUAAGCGGCCAUCCGAGCAGCGACCACUAGACUGGGACUCAGUGCUCAUUCGAAUGCCAAGUGUACACAUGUCUUGCUUGUCAACU